AGUCUUGAGGUGUUAACAUAUCAGAUUGCAAAUCUGAAGAAGCAGGAUAACACCUGCCGGGGCUU
rnacentral:tRNA from 1 species